AGAUUGAACGCUGGCGGCAUGCCUUACACAUGCAAGUCGAACGGCAGUACGGGGGCAACCCUGGUGGCGAGUGGCGAACGGGUGAGUAAUACAUCGGAACGUAUCCUGUAGCGGGGGAUAACCUCUCGAAAGAGAGGCUAAUACCGCAUACGACCUACGGGUGAAAGAGGGGGAUCGCAAGACCUCUCACUAUUGGAGCGGCCGAUGUCGGAUUAGCUAGUUGGUGGGGUAAAAGCCUACCAAGGCUACGAUCCGUAGCUGGUCUGAGAGGACGACCAGCCACACUGGAACUGAGACACGGUCCAGACUCCUACGGGAGGCAGCAGUGGGGAAUUUGGACAAUGGGCGCAAGCCUGACUCACGCCAUGCCGCGUGAGUGAAGAAGGCCUUGGUUGUAAGUCUCUUCGGCGGACGAAACGGUCGUGCUAACACCGCGAACGU
rnacentral:rRNA from 1 species